UUAUAUGGCCAUAUCACGUUGAAAGCACCAGUUCUCAUCCAAUCACCGAAGUUAAGCAACAUCGAGCCUAGUGAGUACUUAGAUGGGUGACUAUUUGGGAAACCAAGGUGCUGUAAGCA
rnacentral:rRNA from 1 species